rnacentral:rRNA from 1 species
UGGGGAAUUUUGCACAAUGGGGGAAACCCUGAUGCAGCGACGCCGCGUGAUUUAGAAGGCCUUCGGGUUGUAAAAAUCUUUUUUACGGGAUGAAAAUGACAGUACCGUAAGAAUAAGGUCCGGCUAAAUACGUGCCAGCAGCCGCGGUAAUACGUAUGGACCGAGCGUUGUCCGGAAUCAUUGGGCGUAAAGGGUACGUAGGCGGCCUAGUAAGUUAGAAGUGAAAUAAUAUAGCUCAACUAUAUAAAGCUUUUAAAACUGCUAGGCUUGAGAGAUGGAAGGGAAAGUGGAAUUCCUAGUGGAGCGGUGAAAUGCGCAGAUAUUAGGAAGAAUACCGGUGGCGAAGGCGACUUUCUGGUCAUCAUCUGACGCUGAGGUACGAAAGCGUGGGUAGCAAACAGG